AAUCUCGAGUGUGCCCUUCAGGUUUUGUGACUGGGAUGCCGAGGAUCACAAAACAAGGUGUGAAGUAACCAUGCAAAUUACUUGGUACCCUUAAGUGUUUACCCCUCAAUCGAUGUGCCGGUUAACCACACACGCUCCAUCGAUACUAUGAUAAACAUUAAGUUACCCUUUGCCUACCUUGUUAAAUACGAGUUAGUGUGCCGGUUAACCACACACGCUCCACUAACCGACUUAAACAAAGUGCAAAGUGUAAUUUCAUGGAUUAGCACCUUAUUCACAUUUUCCUAAGUAACUAAGAUUGGGUAUUUAUAAAAGGUUUAGUUACUUAGUAUUUAUCAUUAAUACUUUUAAUGAAGGGAGAAUUAUAGUCCUGUCAAACCCGUUCGGCUAACGACCCUCCACCAGUCAAGCAAGCGGUGGGUGAGAGUGGACACCCAUUAAGUUGCCAUUUUAUAGGCAACAACCUUAUACCCACCUUAUAGACCGGCUUCGUGAAUGAGGCGUACUAGCGGUAAGACUGACUUUACUCUUAUACAUAUAUAUAUUAUUAACUUAUAAUAUUAUAAAGUAUAAGGGUUGAAUUUUAACUUUUAAAAUUCUAAGGGCUAACUUGGAAUUGAAGUAUUCAUAAGAGAAAAAUUUUCAAAUUCUAAAACUUGAGGGCAAGUUUUGAAACUACUCAAAACUAAUUAAUUUCAUAACUUAUGUGUUUAAAGUAGUUUUAAUUAAAAAACUCUUCAAGUUCCAUAACUUGAGGACAAGUUAUGGAAGACUUUAAACUAAUAAAAGGAUUAAUUUUUCUUUACUUUAUAACUUAUGCAAUUAAUUAAGGUUACACAUUUUAGUACUUAAUGAAGUGACUCUUGAACUUCCAUAACUUGAGGACAAGUUAUGGAGUCAUAAAACCAUUUAAUUAGAACUAGACUCUUCAUUUUUNGAGACAAAACUCUUCAUUUUUGUAACCAUUGCCAACUUUUAUGAGUUUUAUGAAACUUAAAUGUGACUUUUCAUGUAACUUGAGGACAAGUUACACAAACACAUUUUAGAAUCAACUUUUAGAUUAAAAUGGAUUGAAAACAACUAUUCAAUUAACUUUUCUAUUAAUCGAAGCAACUCAUAUGAACAAGAUAAUUCAAUCAAACUUUUUCCAUGUAAUUAUCAUAACACUUAAACUAAUACAAACAUGAAUCUAUUGACAAUUAUCUUUAAAAUUUGAUUAGCAUGAACAUUACCACAUCAAAAACAAGUUUAUAAGUCCACAAACAUCUUAGGGGGUCCAACUCGUCGAGUGUAUGAACCAACUCGGCGAGUUGGAUCGAUUUGAUCACUUUUUAGGCAUGGACUUGUCGAGUCUGAUGCCCAUACAACAAAAAACUUCGAUUUUAAGCAGUUUUGCAAGGAUAACAAGAAAACAAGCCUAGGCUCUGAUACCACUGAUGGGUUUUGAGCAUUCUAACACUCCUAUUGUGUACAUGCAACCUUAUAAACCUUGGAUCUAUGUUUUCUCUAUUAUACAUGCAAAUAAGAACUUUCCAAGGAUUUAAUCCUAACUAGCAUAUUAUGAAGUUCUUAUACUACAAAGUACUAGUUAGAUGACAUACCUUUUGAUGUAGCUUGAUGUCUUCAAGCUUUAAGAGCUUAGUGAGUUCCCCCAUCAUACCACAUACCAUAAGAUCAUAUAACAUACAUAUACUAACAGGCAUAUCUGGGUGCCCGACCUACCCCUUCGGUCCUCUCGACCGGAUACUGCCUAGCAUAUCUGGGUGCUAGCCUCCCUUUCAGUCCUCUCGACCUGAUACUGCCUAGCAUACUUGGGUGCUGGGCUCCCCUACGACCCUCUCGACCGGAUACUGCCUAGCAUACAUGGGGGCUGGCCUCCCCUUCGGUAUCUUUCAACCGGUAACCGGGGACUAUUUCACCCCCUAACGCUACCACAUAAAAGCAUAGCAUAAACACAUAAGUCAUAUACUGCUUAGCAUAUCUGGGUGUUGGCCUACCCCUUCGGUCCUGUCGACUGGUAAGUGGGGACUAUUUCACCCCCUACUAUUACCACAUAAUAUCAUAUCACAUAUAUCAUAAUCUGUCUAGCAUAGUUGGGUACUAAUCUACCCCUUCGGCCCUAUCGACCGGUAAUCGGGGACUAUUUCACCCCAUACUACACUAUCACAUAACAUCAUAUCAUGCUAGCACAUAAAUAUAACAGGUAGUAGCAAACAUAGACAAUUAUCACAAAGACAAUAAUCUAGCAACAACUCCUACUGGUGGGCCGGCAUUAUGACCGUAGGCCCACCGCUACUGGAAGGUAACUCACCUCACACUGCUGAAGUCCCACAGACUCGACCCCAGCUGCUGGAUGACAGAUUUUCGAUCAGUGAAUAUCAAAACAUCACCCAAUUAAUAAUUGGGUCCCAACACAUAACCAAUAGUACAUUAUUUGGGUAAUUACUACAUUACCCCUAGCUUGGCUUAUUCAAGCCCAAGGCUCAAUCUAUAGGCCCAAAGUCAAUUAGGAAUCAAAGCCUAACACAUGGCCCAAUUUUCCAAAUUAGGCAUAGGCCUAUACAUGGUCCCAUUCUAAGGCCCAAAAUCAUAUAAUCAUUAAGGCCCAAACUAUGGCCCAAUUUUCCAAAUUGGGCCGAAACCCCUUACAUGGGCAUUACCCUAGGCCCAUUAAAUUACUCUAGACCAUUUGCUUGAUCUUGGAUAGCACAUUUAAUAACCCAAUCAUCAAGGCCCAAUAGAAAGGUCCAACAAUACACCCAAGUGAAAUUACGGUUUUCACAUAAAAUGAUGAUUAGGGUUAAGUCUUCUCACUUAACCCAUUAAGGACUUAAUCCAUUAAGUCCAAUAUUACUUAGAUUAAUUUCUUGAGAACGAUUAUUAUUUAGUAUCUCCAGUUAUUAAAUAAUUCUCGUGUGUGUGACCCGAUUAAUAUUAGCCCAUUUAUCAAUUUGUUGGCCUUUUAUGACAAUUAGGGCUUUAUUGGGCCUGAUAAGCCCACUAAAAUCUUAUGAAGCCCAUAUGGGUUUUAUUGGGUCAAUUAGAGUCCAUUAAGCUUCAUUGGGCCCAUUAGAGAUCCUUUGAGCCCAUUAGGCUUUCAGUCCCUUGACCAAACAUCCAAAUGAGUCCAAACACCAUGAAAGCACACCGCCACUCGACACGGCGGCCGGUGGCGGUAGGAGGCAGCAGCCACCACCCUACGGUGGUGGUUUGAGUUCUAUUUCAUUAUUAAAAUUUUUACAAUUACAAUGAACUCACAAAAUAACACACAUGUUAUACUAAAACAACACACCCACAACCACCCUUGUGGUGGUCAGUGGUGGUACACGGUGGCAGCCACCAUCUCAUAGUGGUGGUGGUGGCCUUUUCUUGCUUUUCCGGCCAUCAAACACCACAUACAACAAUCUAUCAGAAAAUAAACAUGCUCAUACACCAAAAUAUGCAUAUCCAUCGCUAACAAGGCACUAAUCUCGACCACCCUCUUGUGGUGGCAUGAGGUCGUCGAACGGAAAACGGCUGAGACUCACGAAGGCGGUAGCAGCAACCACAGUGUCACACCCCAAAACCAUGAACGACGGAAACGUUCUGGGGUGGAGGACGUCAUGUACAGUAUCACAACAAUGAAAAGUAGUAAACAAGCAACAAUAUCAUCCAUUGCAUUAAUAAUAUAAUUUUAAUACAAGUGUGUUCUGUAAAAUUAUAAUAAACACUAAAGUAUAAGUCAAAAUGAAAGAUGAGUCUUGAAUGAGCUCCAUCUUCUCUAAACCUUGCAUCGGUACCUGUUUAUCGUUGACCUGAGGAUACAAGUUAUUUUGAAAGAGAGUAUUAGCUUUAAAGCUGGUGAGAUCAUAAGUAUUUUAGUGUCUUAAUUUGUAUGUAAGUAUUUGUAUGUAUAUGAACUGUAAGUAUUGAAAAUGUAUAUGAACUGUAAGUAUGAAAAUGUUUUGAAUGAUCCUAGGAAGCCUUAUGUUUCCUACUAAUCGUAUCCUUCUACCAAGGCAUCUAGUGUCUCUGUGUGUGUCUCUUGUAAGAGUGUGUAUUUUCCCAAAUCUGAAUAUCAUUAACCAAAAAUAUAGUUUCUACAUUAUCGUACGUCGUGUGAAUGUUCACAAAGUGCAUGUAAUUGGGAAAACGAAAUAGUACUAUGGUGUAGUGUCGAACUACAACCGUACUAAUUACCUUAAGUCUAGGGUAAUCAUGUGAGUACUGUAGUAUUUGUAAUAAGUGAAUACUUUUGUACUCAUAUUGCCUUAUUUCAGGGAUAAGGCCUAAUGUGAUGGCUAGAUCCCAUGCUAAACGCUCCCCUGUCAAAGAGAUUUUGGGACCUGCACAUGACCCCUACAUGUAUGCAAGCCAUGAACAUCCACAUUACUAUGAUCAUGUAUACCCGAUAUAACUAUCACAAUGCAUUGUGAUUUAUCGGUAUAGUUAGAUCCUGAACUUGUUCUAUGUUAUAGCACCUAGUGAUGUCUGUCCUAUUAUCGUAUAUGUAAACACACUCAUGUAAACGUAUAUAUGUAAACAUACUCACGUAAGCGUAAUCAUGUAAACAUAUCUAUGUAAUAAUAUAGUAAUGUACUGUAAUGUUCUGCGUGUGCUAGCUGUAAUGUGUGUUCUCUCUCUGUCUAGCAUGUAUAGUAAUGUACUCUAAUGUUCUGCGUGUGCUAGCUGUAAUGUGUGUUCUCUCUCUGUCUAGAAUGUAUAGUAAUGUACUGUGCGUACUAGCUGUAACAAGUGUUCACUCUCUAUCUAGCAAGUAUUGACUCAUGAAUGAAUUGACUCAUUGUAUGAUAUCGCGUUCUAGUAAUAGUUCUAGUAUCUUCCUAAACUACACAUAUGGUAGCUUACUAGUAAUGUAACUUGUACGUAUGAACAUGGGAGUGUACCCUUGCUACUCAAGGGUAUUGAACUGAACUAGAAGAACCUUUAUGACUAUAUAUGUACACAUGAUAUAUAACUAAUAUUUAAAUGACUUUCGGACGGAUACCCGAUAUCCCACCAGACCACAUCUCAAGCGCGAAAAGGAAAUAGGGUGAAUAGCCUUCCUAAGUCCUUUAGACAUUUCUCAUAUAACUAUACAUAUAUAGGCAUGCAAUUGACAAUAUAAAAGAAUAAAAUAAGUUUUGUAAAACCUUUUGAACAUGAUUUCUAUCUAAGAAAAGAUCGACUUAAUGUUAAUCUACAAAACGGGUUGAAAGUAUGAGUUUGAUAAAACAGUUUAAGUAUAAAGAAACAUUUGUCUGAAACACAAUUGUAAAUGAGUUUGAAAUGAAACAUACAGAGUAAAAUGAACAGUUUAACAAGGAGUUUUAAACAUAUAAAAUGUUUAUGAAAAUCAUUUCAAGGAAACUGUUUGGUAAAACGGCUAUUGAGUAGUAAGUCAUUUGAAUGCUGCUUAUUAAUCACAUGUGAUUGAUAUAAUAACUAGCAUGAUUCUACUUGUAUCCCCCCAUAAAACAUUUAAAAACAUGUAAACUAUUGAUUAAGGGGUAUGAACUCAACUAUUGUGAACAGAUCGGAAGGAAGUAUUGGGCAAGUGCUUGGUGUCAAGUGAAGACUUUAGACACACACAAUGAUCCUAAUUACAUAUGAAGACAUAUGUAUAUAAGCAAUUAGUGAUUAAAACACUAAUUAAACAUGUAUAAACAUCCUAAUGUGAGGAAAACAUUUUGGUCAAGUGCUAGGAGGCUAUCGGGUUGCAACAAAGGAGUGCAAGACCUCAUACGAGAGUUUAUGGUCCAAAGACCAUAUGUGUUGGAGUUUACGGCCCAGGGGAGUAAACACCUGGCCGUAAACUCUCUAUUGGGUCACUAAAUGAUGCUCAAGCUAUUACAACUUAAGUGGUGAAGUGCUUCAAGGCUUAAACAAGUGUUUGGGUGGGUUUAUGGCCUUAAAAUGGCCUUGCUUAAAGUUCACGGUCCUGGGACCACUCCCCCAUGAGUUUACGACCGUAAACUCAUGGUAAGGAGUACCAUUUGAUGUUUUGAGGUUCCUAGCUCAUUGGUGAUUGGUUCUAUGUUAAGUUCUAGCCAUGUGGAAGCAUUAGGGGCACACUAUCACCCCUUUAAAGAGUUUACGGCCUAAGGACCAAUCCUUAUGAGCUUAUGGCCGUAAACUCUAUGGGAACAUGGUUUCUUGCAUGCUUAAGGUCCUUAACACUUCAAGGAUAUGAUCUAAGCUGGGUUCUAGGAAUAAGGAAGGCGUUAGGGUGCAAUUUGCCCUAUUUAUAGGGGUUUACGGCCCAAGAACCUGUCUUGGCCGUAAAAUCCUUUGUUCUUGUGUUUCCUUAUGAUUUCUAGACUAUAAACACAUUAGGGUACAAGUCCAAACUAGUUUCAUUGCUCAAGGAAAGGUCUAGGGCAUCAUUUGCCCCUUAAAGAAGGGUUCACGGUCCAAGAUGUUCUUGGGCCGUGAACUCUUAAAUCUUGGGGUUUUGUUAUGAUUUCUAGGUUAAGAAGCAUCUAAUAAGCCAUAUAAUACAACUAGAGAGAGGUACUCACUUUCCGGGACGAAAGUCCGAAGAUCCUUGAGAGAGAAUUCAACUUUGCUCUAGUUGGAAAUGUAACUAAUAAAUAAAUAUGGCUCAGAAUCCUAUAUAUAGUCCUGGGAUUUUUGGCUGAAAAUAUUUCAUUCACUAAAUGAACUCUAAUAUCAUAGAGUUUUGAAAUAACAGUGUUGCGUAAAACAUUAGUGCAUCCACUUUCCUGAUAUCUCCUUAAGUGUAAAUCCUGAACAACUCAAACUUAUACCCAAAAAUCUGGAAAUUCACUGUAACUGUUCAAAUCUUCUACUGACGAGAUAUGGUGUUACUAUCAAUAAGGUCAUUAAGUCUUCCAGGUCUGGUGGUAUGUUUUGUACAAAUUGGGAUCUGAGAAGCCAAUAGGUUGCUACAAUGCUUCUGUUCAGGUACAACUAAAAUUGUUUUUAUGCUUCCUUGUGCAACUCUUGGCCUUUUAAACUAGUGUCAAUUUUGAAAUCUAGAAACAAGAUACUAUAGAAUAUCAUUUUAAAGUAAAGAUAAGUGAAGAUUUUGUGAUAAUGUUUCAACACAUGCAGGAACUGAUUGUAAUUGAUGAUCUUCUAUCUGCUUUAGUUGGGAUUGAGGGAUGAUAUAUUUCUAUCAAUAGAGUUGGAGGGAAUGAUAACUUUAUUAUCUUCAAUGUUGAUGGAUCUAUGGAUUUUGCUCUCCAGGUUAAGAAUCUUCACAUAUACAAUUAUACAUACACAGAUGCACAUAUGUAUGUAUCUAUAACUUCAUGGAAAUCUUUUCACUUUUGGGAAAUAAAUGUUGCAAGAAAAUGCAGGAAUCAUCGAAAAGAAUAUUCCCUUUAUGCAAGAGCUAUUUGAUUAUCAAUCAAUUUGUGGAAUCAGGAUCACAGUUCAAGUCUGGAUUAGUAAACCAUGUCUUUGCUGCUGCACUAAGGGCCUUCCUUUUGGUAAUAUAUUUAUGUUCAAUGUUUCCUAUUAGAUGAUGGUCAUUACUGCAUAUAUUUAUAAAUAAUGAUAUAGAUUCUUACGUAUUUGAUAUACACAACAAUACAACUUUGCAAAUUCUAAGUUUUGGAAGCUAUAGUAAGUGAUAAAUUUACUAAUACAAUAACAAGUCAAGUUAUUCAAUAGGAAUCAUGGACUAUGUAAGAUAAAUAUAACAAUAUAACACAUUUUAGUGUCAAGGUUCCAUGAAUUUUCUAUUUUGCUAUUAUAAUAAAUAAUUAUUUUUCUCAGGAUUAUCAAGCCAUGGUGGCACAGCUUGAACAUCAAUUUCGAAUAGGAAGUCUCUCUAUACAUGGAUUGUGGUUCUACUGUCAGGUAAUUUCAUUUAUUAUAAACUUCAUUUUUUGUUUAUAUAUUUACAAACUAUGAUGAUUUUUUUCUUUUUUGGUUUCAAGAUUCAUAUUUGUUUCCUUUUUACAUAUUUACAACCAAUGAUGGGAUCAAUGCAAGCAUUAUCAACAGUAAUAAGAAAGGCAUCAACAAGUAAUUUUGUGCGUUCAACAGUUCUUAACCUUUUACAAAGUCAGGUACGUAAGUCAAUAAAAUAAACUAAAAUAUGUUAUAUGCUAUUUAUUUAUUUAUUAAUAUAUUUUAAAUAAAAACAGCCCAAGAUAAUGGCUGGUAACUAUUUGGUGAGAUCAUUGCUCGAGAAGAUGAUAGAGUCCGCAAAUUGUGCUUAUCUUGGCAUACUUGAAAGGUAUAUAUAAAGUCACAAUGCCCAAUAAUAUACUCCACAAAUUAAUAUUUUACCCCUUUACCAAUAUUGAAAAUAUGUUGUUAUUUUCAACAAUUUUCGCAUAACAUACUCAAUAUUGUACAUGUAUAUUUGCAUAUAUGCAAGUGGGUGUAUGAAGGAGUAUCCUUUGGGAGCUGUCCUUGAGGCCACAAAAAAUACUUUGAUUCAAGUCAGUACAAAACACUUAUUGGUAGAUCAUUUUUAAUUCCACUCUCAUAUAUACAUACAUACCAUGUGUAUUAUUAAUUAGUUGAUAUUGAUAUUGUACAACUGACAUGAUUAUUAUGUAAGAUUUCCGUGUUGUUCUUGAUCAAGAGUUGGGACUUCCGUGUUGUUCUUAUUUGGAUUAGGAAGAUUUGUUUUUCUAGUUUGAAUGAUGUUAAUAAACUAACAAUUAAAUGUGAUUUGUUUUGAAUAUUAGUACAUUUAUUUUAUGAAAUGGAUUGUUUUGUUAUAUAAGUAUUUUAUUUUGCAUUAUGAGACUUUAAAUGUGUUAUUUAAUUUGAAAUUAGUAAAUCUAUCAAAAACACAUAUUUUUUUAAAAACAUUUAAAAUUAUGACACGAAAAAAUGUGUGUCAUCUUUCUUUAUGACAUGGCCUUUCUUGAUACGCAUUGCGUGUCGUAAAUAUGCAUCGUAAAUCGCGUGUCGUAAUUGCGCGUCGCAAAUGUGUGUCGUCUAUAGACGACGCGCAAAAGCGUUUCGUCUCUUGUUAUUACAUGGCCUUUCUUGACAUGCAUUUGCACGUCGUCUGAGUGUUUUACGACACACAUUGCGCGUCGUAAAAAGUUGUUUUUCUAGUAGUGGUCUAUUUGGGUUGCAUGGCACCAGAACAAUUUCUAAGGAUGAAUUUUUGAGAAAAGGGUAUUUAUGAUUUAUUAAUAUAUUAUAAGUUCUAAUAUAUUAAUAUAAAAUCAUAUUAUUCAAUCAAUAUUGAUCAAGAAUUAAUUUGGAAUUAAUUUUAUGAUCUAAAGAGACUAAUUAAAUAUAUGGGGAUUGAUUGUAUAAAUCAUUCAUUCUUAUACAGUGGGCUUCUGAUCCAUAGUUCUUUAUCUUGGGCUAAACCCAUGUGGUGCCCCAUGGAUACUCCAUGGAGGUUAAAACCCAUGGAGCCUAAGGAAUGUGGAAAGUCAUGCACAUUAUGGUUUGCAUGGUGUAACGCUAGUUGUGUCACACUAUAUAAGAAACCUCAUGGCUACCAAAAUCGGCACUUAAGUGAGAUAAAAGAGGGCUAGCUGAUUUUUGUGUGUGCAAGACAAUCUCUUCUCAAGUCCUCCAUUGUUGGUGGUGUUGUUUGAAGCAUUUGAGGCAUCAUGCUUGGGGUGCUAGGCUCUUAAAGACUUAAGGUUUCCAAGCUACAACAAAGGUAAGUCAUCUAACUAGAUUUUUGUAUUGUAUAUACUAUAUAGUAUGCUAGUUAGGAUGAUGCCUUGGAAAAUUGAAAGUUUGCAUGUAUAAGAGCGAAAACAUAGAUCCAAGGCAUAUAGGGUUGCAUGUACACCAUAGGAGUGUUCGAAUGCUCAAAACCCUUUAGUGGUAUCAGAGACUAGGCUUGUUCUCAAUUAUACUUGAUGCAACUUGUUUUCAAAGCUUAGAAAAAUUGAUUUUCUGCUUUCUGGACAGUGAACUCGCCGAUUCGUUGACAGACUCGCCGAGUCCACCUUUAAAACUGACCAACUCACUAAGUCAGUUCAUGCACUCGACGAGUUGGUGCUCCAGAAUGCAGAAUUUCAAGUUUUAAAGCCAAAAUUGGACUAGAAUCAUUACCUAUAUUGUUUUUGAACAAAUAAACAUGCUUUUGAUGUGGUAAUGAUUGUGCUUAUCCAAUUUCAAAGAUAAUGGUCAUAGUUUUAUGUUUUGUAUUAGUUUAUAUGAUUAGGCUAAAUUCAUGAAAUUUGUUUGAUAUGAAUUAUCUUGUUCAUAUGAGUUUAGUUUAAUCAUGUAUGAAUUAUUUGAUUAUUGUGUUAAUUAAAAUAACUAGUUAAAUGCUUUUAAUGGACUCCACAACGUUUCCUUAAGUUAUGGAAAAUGAAAGGUUUUUCCUUUAAAAAAUCAUUAAACUCAUAUGUUAUGGAAAUGAAAAGUUUUGACAUGUUUCAAAACAUGCCUUCCAGUUUUGGAAUUUGUAAAGUCACUUAAGAAUACUUUAAUUCCAAACCCUAGAAUUUUAAAAGUUUAAUAUUUAACCCUUAUACUUUAUAUUAUUAUAAGUUUAAUAUAUAUAUAUAUAUAUAUAUAUAUAUAUAUAUAUANNNNNNNNNNNNNNNNNNNNNNNNNNNNNNNNNNNNNNNNNNNNNNNNNNNNNNNNNNNNNNNNNNNNNNNNNNNNNNNNNNNNNNNNNNNNNNNNNNNNNNNNNNNNNNNNNNNNNNNNNNNNNNNNNNNNNNNNNNNNNNNNNNNNNNNNNNNNNNNNNNNNNNNNNNNNNNNNNNNNNNNNNNNNNNNNNNNNNNNNNNNNNNNNNNNNNNNNNNNNNNNNNNNNNNNAUAAGGUUACUGCCUAUAAAAUGGCAGUUUAAUGGGUGUCCAUUCUCACCCACCACUUCCUUGAAUGGUGGAGGGUCGUUAUCCGGAUGGGUAGGAUAGGACUAUAAUUCUCAUUAAGUAUAAUGAUAGUAAUAAAGUAACUAAACCUUUUACAAAUUCCCAAUCUUAGUUACUUUAGGAAAAUAUGAAAUGAAUGCUAAUCCAUGAAAAUUGCACUUUGCACCUUACUAAGUCAUUUAUGGAGCGUGUGUGGUUAACUGGCACAUUAACUUGGACUAGUAAGGGUGGAAAAGGGUGGCUCGAUGUUUUUCAUAAGAUCAAUGGAGCGUGUGUGGUUAACCGACAUAUUGAUUGGGUGAUAAAGUCGAGAGUACCAAUCACAUUUUGCAUGGUUAUUCACACCUUGUUUAUGAUCCUCGGUAUCAUAGUCACAAACCUGAAGGGCAUAAUCAAGAUUUAAACAUGAUAUUGAAUUGUUCAAUGAAUCUUAAAGGAUCUAGGAGUCUCAAUCCAAUUAAAACUUAAUAUUUAAUUUCGUUUUUCAUGGUGGAAAUUGGUAAAUCGUCAUUUACCUACCUUCAAAUAUUUUGCAAGUUGGAUUAUGGAAUCACUCUUCCAAAUUGUAAAUAUUGUGUUGGGUCCUAGCCUUAAUAUUUCAUUUGCAUGUUUUAGUAAGGAAUCUUUAUCAAAUCUAAACUUGUCUUUCUUUCUUUUUAGAAGCCUUCUAACACUGCUUCUGGCACAAACCCUACUGGCUCCUUCUCUCUCAUGAACCUUUGUAGGAGAGUUAUCUUUUAUGGUUCCAACUACAAUGACUGGAUUAAGAGCAUGAGGAUGGUCACUCGCUAUGAGGAAAAGGAAUAUGUCCUAGACAAGAAGCUUAAGGAAAUCGAUGAGUCUUCUACUACUCAUGAGGAGAUCGCUGAGUUUAGGGCUCAUGAGAAGGAUGUCACAAAGGUGUCUUGUAUCAUGUUGGCCACCAUGAUAGCUGAACUCCAAAAGUCCUAUUAGGAUUUCUACCCUUUUGAGAUGCACCAGGACCUGAUGGAAAGAUACCAUCAUAGUGCUCGUCAAGAGAGGUAUGAAAUCAUCUCUUCCUUGAUAACAGCCAGGAUGAAGGAUGGUGAACCUAUCACGGGCCACUUGUAGAAAAUGAAAAGGUUUGUGGAUCGGUUGCUAAAGUUAAAUGUGAACUUCGCUGAGGAGCUUGCUAUGGAUAUAAUUCUACACUCCUUGCCUCCAUGUUAUGAUCAGUUUCACAUGACCUAUCAUAUGAACAAGGAGGAGGUAACACUUAGCAAAAUUCAUGGGAUUUGGAGGAUUGCUGAAACUAGUGUCAAAGGUAAAAAUGUUGUUUCUACUCCUACCGCAGCUGCCCCUGUUCUGGUAACUGGACAAGGGAAAUGGAAGAAGAGGAAGGCUGCCUCAAAUAGUUACAAGGGAAAGUCUCUUUAUGGAUCCUCUUCAAGUGGGAACAAGUUUGGUACUGCUGCACCCUCUUCCAUUCUUAAGGAAGUAGAGUGUUUCUACUAUCAUGAUAAGAGCACUGGAAGCGAAUUUGCCCUAAAUACAUGAAGGAUGUCAAGGAUGGGAAGGUUAAACCCACCCAUGCAUGUAUUUAUACUAUUCUAUCUAAAAACUCAUCACAUUAUAACUCUUGGGUUCUUGACACAGGUUGUGAAUUUCACAUUUGUUUGAUGUGCAGGGCCUAAAAAGAAGUAAGGAUGUGGAGCACGGGAAGGUAAACUUGAUCAUGGGGAAUAGGAAGGUUUCACCUGUCACCAAGAUUGGAGUUUACUCUUUAUUGCUUAGUAGUGGGUUAGAAAUAGAUUUGAAUAAUUGUUGCUACUCGUCUGAUAUGGAAAGAAAUAUUAUUUCCUUUCAUGGUUUGUACAAACAAGGCUAUAGUUUUUCAUUUGAUAAUGAAAUUGGUGCUAUUAAUGCUUUUUACAUUGGUAUACUUUCUUUUAAAGCAUUACCUUGUAAUGGUGUAUAUGGAACUGUAAUGUUGUAGAAAAAUUAGGAAAUAUUGUGUUGCAUAUCGAUUCUUCCAAUGAAUUGGAUAAAGCAUGCUUGUGGCAUUGUCGUCUUUGAAAUGUUAGCAAGAGGCGCAUAGGCCAACUCAAAAACGCUGGAGUUUUGGAGUCAUUCGACUUAAGUUCGGAUGACACUUUCGAAUCUUGUUUACUUGGAAAGAAGACUAAAUCACCCUUCACUGGUACUUAUGAGAGGGGUGAAAGUUUGUUGGAUCUCAUACACACCAAUGAGUGUGAGCCCUUCAGAACCCCCACAAGGGAUGCUAACCCCUUCUAUGUGACUUUUACUGUUGAUUACAAUAGAUAUGGCUAUGUCUAUUUAAUCAAGCAUAAGUCAUAAACCAUUGAGAAAUUCAAAGAGUUCAAACAGGAAGUGGAGAGGAGAGGAGUAUUUCGUGAGAGAGAGCUCAUAGGCUAAGGAGACAGUGGGAGGUAAAUUGACAUUGAAGAACUUCAAAAGUCAAUCGGUGAAGGAACCUCAAACACUAGUGAUCAACCUAAGGAGGAAACUCCUAUUGAGCCAAUUGACGUGUCUAUACCUCUGAGGCAUUCCAGUAUAGUUAGUGUUCCACCUGAGUUCUAUGGUUUCCAUAUUACUGCAGAAGGUGAUACAUUUAUCAGUAAUAACAUACUGAUAAAUUUGGAUGAACCUAACAACUACAGGCCCUGAGUGUGCUAAACAGAAAUAGGCUAUGGAUAGCAAGAUUCAGUCCAUGUAUGGCAAUCAAGUUUGGAACUUGGUUGACAAUAUACCAGGUCGUAAUAUGUUCGAGUGCAAAUGGAUCUUUAAGAGGAAGACCAACAUGGAUGGAAUGGUACACACUUAUAAGGCGCGACUGAUUGCGAAGGGCUUUUCUUAAACUCUGGGAGUUGAUUAUGAUGAGACCAUCUCACUAGUAAAGAAGAUUAAGUCUAUUAGGGUUAUGCUCAUGAUUAUGAAAUAUGGCAAAUGGAUGUUGGGUUUUGUCGAUGAAAAGUACACUAAUAGAGUGUUUAAGCUUGACAAAUCCAUUUAUGGAUUGAAACAAUCAUCUCGCAGAUGGAAUCUUUGUUUCGAUGAGAAAGUCAAAGAGUUUGGCUUUUCGAGAAGCGAGGAUGAGUCCUGCGUAUAUGUCAAAUCUAGUGGCAGCAUAGUUAGCUUUCUGGUAUUAUAUGUGGAUGACAUACUACUCAUAGGAAAUGACAUUCCAACCUAGUUGGAGGUUAAGUUAUGGCAUGGGAAGUUUUUUGCUAUGAAGGAACUCCGAGAAGCUGCCUAUAUUCUUGGGAUAAGGAUAUUUAGAGAUAGGAGUAAGAGACUAAUUGGACUUAGUCAAAGUACCUACUUGGAUAAGGUGUUGAAAAGAUUCAGCAUGCAAGAUUUCAAGAAAGGUGACUAACUGAUGUAGAACAAUGCCAAACUGAGUAAAGAUCAGAAUCCAAGUACAGAGGCUGAGAUAGCUGAGAUGAGUCGAAUACCAUAUUCAUCUGCUGUUGGCUCGAUCAUGUAUGCUAUGACUUGUACUAGCCCUGAUGUGGCCUUUGCUUUGAAAACGGUCACCAGAUAUCAAGGGAAUCCAGGCAAGCCUCAUUGGACUACGGUAAAGAACAUUCUCAAGUACUUGCGGAGGACUAAGGACUGGGUCCUUACCCUCGGUGGAAGUGAUGACUUGAGAAUGGUGGGGUAUAGUGAUGCCAGCUUUCAGACCGACAGGGAUAAUUUCCGCUCUCAUUCGGACUGGGUCUUUACCCUGAAUGGAGGAGCAAUAACUUGGAAAAGUUCCAAGCAGGUGACAAUAUCUGGUUUAACUUGCGAAUCAGAGUACAUAGCAGCAAGCGAGGCGACGAAGGAGGCAAUAUGGAUGAAGAACUUCAUCGGAGACCUUGGAGUUGUACCAGCUAUAAAAGGAGCCUAUGGAGAUUUUCUAUGAUAGCGAGAGUGCAGUUGCCUUAGCCAAUGAACCAUGGGAUCAUGGCAGAUCAAGGCACAUCGACAGAAAAUACCACUUCAUUAGACAUCGAAUAGAAGGACUCCUCAUGGAAAAGAGGGUAUCGUCUGAUGAGAAUCCAACAUAUCCCCUCAUAAAGGGAAUGAGUAGGGUUAAGCAUUUACAACAUGCGAUGCGCAUCGGGCUGAAGGACAAUAUUAGGUUUAAUGAUUAAAUAUCGAAACUUGUAAUAGUGGAAAUGUAAUUAACAUUUGAUGCUUAAAUAGUAGGUGCUUUUUAUUUACAAGUAUGGUAAUGUCUUGUGUCAAUCAUUAAUAUUGUGUCACUUUGCAUGUGUUGACAUCCAAAAAAAAUAUAUUAUUCAAACUAUCCAUAGUCGAUCAUAUCUUAGAAGUAGGCAUUGAAUCAAGACUGUCAUGAAUUUGGCUUGUAGAUUUGUCUGAAUUGUGUUAGACAUAGCAAAGUUUGUCGCAACAUUCAUGAGUGCUCAUAAGGUCUGGGUAUUGGCUUAAACCCACGCUCACUCGUAUCACUUCAUGGAAUUUAGCUCGAGUGAUUGUGAGACGAUAAUAUCAUAUAAGUCUUCAAACCAAGAGCUAUGAGUUGUAGACUAUGAGUUGGUUGAGCAUUGAUAGUACGAAAACACUUCAGUAACUUGAUGGUAUAAAACAUGUUGUUAUAUACAAUUUGAUGAGUAGUUAGUACUAGCAUAUGAGUCGAAGUUUAUCAGUUCCUUUUAGUCCUUGGAGAAUUAAAAGUGAUAUCUUGGUCCCUCGAUGAUUUUGUUUUGACUUAUGUGUCGGGCUCGGUUCGAACUAUAUUGAUGUGUUCGAUUAAGUUCUAUGUCAAACAAAUCGAAGAUCUAGAAACAAACUGCUAGACAAUAAGUAUGAAGUUGCUCCAUGUAUUUAUCCGGCUGAUAUGUUGAGAACAGAGGAUUAUAUGAUCACUUAUCUAAAAUGGAGCCUCUUUGUUUGACAGAGGCUUUUAAGAUCUACGAUUGCUAGUCGGUGUUUUAAUUCAUACUUGCCGUGAUAGUUAUUAGACUUAUCCAAGUGGGAGUCUCUUGGAUUUAGUGUCUAAGCCCAUAACUAUAAUUGGUAUGUACUUGUCCUGAGAGUAGCAUGGUCCAUUUGGGUUGCAUGUAACCAGAACAAUUUGAAAGGAUGGACUUUUGAGAAGAGGAUAUUUAUGAUUUAUUAAUAUAUUGUAAUUUCUAAUAUAUUAACUUGAAAUCAUAUUAUUUAAUUAGUAUUGAUCAAGAAUUAAUUUAGAAUUAAUUUUGUGAUCAAAAGAGACUAAUUAAAUAUAUGGGUAUUGAUUGUAUAAAUCAUUCAUUCUUAUAAAGUGGGCUUAUGAUCUAUAGUUCUUUUUGUUGGGUUUAACCCAUGUGGUGACCCAUGGAUACUCCAUGGAGGUUAAAACCCAUGGAGCCUAAGGAAUGUGGAAAGUCAUGCACAUUAGGGUUUGCAUGGUGUAACCCUAGCUGUGCCACACUAUAUAAGAAACCUCAUGGCUACCAAAAUCGGCACUUAAGUGAUAUACAAGAGGGCUAGCCGAUUUUUGUGUAUGCAAGACAAUCUUUUCUCAAGUCCUCUAUUGUUGGUGGUGUUGUGUGAAGCAUUUGAGGCAUCACACUUGGGGUGCUAGGCUCUUAAAGACUUAAGGUUUCAAAGCUACAAUAAAGGUAAGUCAUCUAACUAUAUUUUUUUAGUGUAUAUACUCCAUAGUAUGCUAGUUAGGAUGAUGCCUUGGAAAAUUGAAAGUUUGCAUGUAUAAUAGAGAUAACAUAGAUCCAUGGCAUGUAGGGUUGCAUAUACACCAUAAACGGGAGGUGAACCGAACAUCACGGUCUUAAAAAAUAGAGACCAAAACGCCAUGGUGAGCAACGAUCUUGCGGAUAUACACAUCGGCCAAUUUCUCGACCGACGAACUCUCCCGAAUGGCCAGAAAAUGGGCACACUUAGUCAAUCGAUCCACGAUGACCCAAAUGGCAUCCAACCCCCUUACAGUCUUCGUCAACUUGGUGAUAAAAUCCAUCAAAAUGUGUUCCUAUUUCCACAUGGGAACCUACAGAGGCUGCAGCUUGCCAUGCGGCCUCUGGUUCUCGGCCUUGACCAUCCUACAGGUCAAGCACCUCUCGACAUACCAGCCGAUCUCUCUCUUCAUGCACGACCAUUAAUAACUCAAUCUUAGAUCCCGAUACAUCUUGAUGGCCCCCAGAUGGAAAGAAAAUUGAGACUUAUGAGCCUCCUCCAACAUGAUCUGUUUGACACCACCCGACACAAGAACCCACACCCGACUACAACGAGUCAAUAAUCUACGACUGUCCAACACAAAUUUGGUGAUCUCACCCCUAAUCCUCUUAAUCUUCCCAUUCUCCUCUCGGUUACCCUCAGUCUGAGCCUCCCUAAUCAAAUCCACAAGUGGAGAAUCCAUGGAUAUCCUCAUACAUGCCACCUCAAUAGAAGGUCCAACCAACUUACGGCUCAUGUCAUCCGCCACCAUAUUCGCUUUACCAGGAUGGUAAAGGAUCUCGUAGUCAUAAUCCUUGACUACGUCCAGCCACUAGUGCUGCCUCAUGUUCAGGUUUGGCUGAUCCAUAAUAUGCCUCAAACUCUUGUGAUCCAUGUAGAUGAUACAAUGGACCCCAUAAAGGUAAUGCCUCUAAAUUUUGAGAGCGAAAACCAUCGCUCCUAACUCAAGAUCGUGCGUUGGAUAUCUCACCUCAUGCGGCUUCAGCUGUCGCUAAACAUAAGCUAUCACUCGUCCCCUCAUAAUGAGGACUUCUCCCAAACCGGUGAUGGAUGCAUCAUUGAAAACAAGAAAAUCAUCAAUUCCCUUCGGGAGGGUCAAGACUGGGGCCUCGAAAAGUCUCUGCCGAAGGGUCUCGAGUGUUGACUGCUGCUCAGGGCCCACCAGAAACCCACUCCUUCCUAGUUAGACGAGUGAGGGGUACUGCAAUCUUGGAGAAAUCAUGAAUGAAUCUCCGGUAUUACCAUGCUUAACCUAGAAAACACUUGAUAUCCGAGGGAGACUUCGGAACCUCCUACUACAUCAUCGCCUAGAUUUUGGUCGGAUCGACCAAAAUCCCGUCCUAGUUAAUGAGGAGUCUAAGGAACUGCACGUCUUGCAACCAAAACUCGCACUUCUAGAACUUAGCAUAAAGCUGUUCUUACCUCAAACCCCCCAAGAGCUCGCGGAGAUGCUCCUCAUGCUGCUAUAUGGUCUUGGAAUACACUAAGAUAUCAUCAAUAAACAUGAUAACCGAUCAAUCAAGCUUCGGUCUUCAUACUUGAUUCAUCAAAUCAAUAAAAUACCGCAUGCGCAUUGGUGACACCGAAUGACGUUACUGUUGGGUUUUGAGCAUUCUAACACUCCUAUGGUGUACAUGCAACCCUAUAAAACUUGGAUAUAUGUUUUCUCUAUUAUACAUGCAAAUAUUAACUAUUCCAAGGUUUUAUCCUAACUAGCAUAUUAUGGAGCACCUAUACUACAAAGUUCUAGUUAGAUGACAUACCUUUUGAUGUAGCUUGAUGUCUGCAAGCUUUAAGAGCUUAGCCCCAAUAGUGUGGAAGCCUCAAAUGGAAUCACAAAUCACCAAAACACCUUGGAAGAAGUUAAGAUAAUAUGUAUGCACACUAAAAUCGGCCCACUCUUAUUUUCACACACUUUGCCAAUUUUGUGAGCCAAGGAACCCUUUAUAUAUUAUGGAGGAUUAGGGUUACAUCCAUGUAAACCCUAAUACCCAUGACCUUUCAUUUACAUAGGAUCCAUGGGUUAAAAGCUCCAUGGAGUAUCCAUAAAAAGCUUAGCCUAACCUAAAUGAACUUGGCCCAUUCCAUAUAUAUAAGAGUCCAUAUUUAAUUAGUUACUUUUUAUCACUUAAUUAAUUCUAAAUUAUUUCUUGAUCAAUACUAAUUAAAUAAUAUGAUUCCAUAUUAAUAUAUUAGAACUCAUAAUAUAUUAAUAUUAAUCAUAAAUAUACUAUUCUCAAAAGACUAUCCAUAUAAAUUGUGCUGGUGAAGUGAAACCCAAAUGGACCAUGCCGAGUCGGGUCAAGUACAUACAAAAUAUAGUUAUGGACUUAGAAAUUAAUCCAAUAGUCUCCCACUUGGAUAAGUCUAAAAAUAUUGUUGAGUAUGACUUCAAAAACUAACUGGCAAUCGUAGCUCUUAAAGCCGCUGUCGAACUCUGACCUUGUCAAUGACUUGUCCAUUAGAUAAGGGAUGAUAUAUUCCUCCCUUCUAGAUAUCAUAUGGAAAGAGACAUGGAUUAUAAUCAUUCUCUUUGUCCAUUUGUUGUUUCCUAAUUUUUGAUUUAUGAUGACUGACUGAUUGAACAAAUCAAAUCAGUCUUUGCUUGGCCAAGCACUCACACGUGUCAUCGCUAAAUCAUCGAGGGGCCCACAUAUAUCGCUUUUAUCCCGAAGGUAAAAGGAAUGGAUAAACUUCGACUCAUAUGGCUUGUUCUGCUACUUGUUGAGUCAUACACAAAGGCACGUUUUAUAAUACCGAGUUACCAAUGCGUUUUCGUGCAAUCAAUGUACUAUCAACUCAUAGUAACAUCUCAUAUCUCUAGGUUUGAAGAAUAAAGGAUAUUAUCGUCUCAUGAUCACUUGCGAUAAAAUCCAUGAAGUGAUUCAAAUGAGAACGGGUUGAAUCUAAUACUCAGAACUUAUGAGCACUCAUGAGUGUUGUAGAACCACUUUGUCCACCAACUUGGACCUCUACAAACCAACCCAUGAUAGUCUUGAUUCAUAUCUACUUCCAAUAUAUGACCGACUGUGGAUGGUUUGAAUAACUUAAUCAUUCAAGAAUAGCGACUUAGUUAUUCUGGAAGUCAAAACAUGCAAAGUGAAAUACAAGAAUAAAUGAAUCAAAUAUGGUAUCAAACCCUAUGAAUAUAAAUAAACACUUUUAUUUUUCACCAUACUGAUUACUUAUUAUUCAUUGUUUCGGUUUUAUCAACUUUAUACUUGAAUUAAAAACACUAGUUGUACCAUGCUCCAAGCAUGCACACUAUGUAUUUCUUAAACAAUAGCUUUGCCAUACACCAAUUAUGCACUCUAUGUUUGUCUAUGAUCCUUACUUUAUGAACUAGAUCGAUUGAACAUAAUUUCAAUGAUUCUCUUUUCACACUCCCAAAUCGUUAUCGAAAUUUUUUUUAAGAAUUCCAAAUUCCUCUCAUUUAUCAAAAUUUGUUUAGAUUUUAAACUUAUAUGCACUGAAUCUCUUGUAAUUCUCAUGCACAAAGUCAUAAUGACUUUUCAACAGACAUUACAGAGUAUUCUAACGAAGAUCAACUCGAUGAAACAAAGUCUCAUAUUUCAUUAAGUUUUCUAACACAAAUAAAUUCCACCUAUGGAGACAACUCCAUAUUCCCAUUUUGACUACCACUUCUGAAUAAGUGUUGCCUCUUUUCAGACUAUGUCAAUAUGGUCAUUCCAAUAUUAACAGUAUACUUCCAAAUGUCCUUGAGCAACCAAUCUUUGGUAAAACCUUAGAUUGUCCUCGACAAUUGCUUAAUCACUUUAUUCAUAUCCAAUUCUAAACCUUUUCCCUCCUUUAUGCCCGAAGGCAUUUGGAAAAUUUAGAAAGGAUAAAUAUUAUAGCACAUAUAAUCGAUCUUGUACCCAAAGCAACUGGGACAUAAUUCAUGAUGUCUGACAUAAAGACAUGAUUCUAGACCAGUCUUUUGCUACAAUAUUUUUAUUUGCCAUGUUCUAAAAAUUUUGACUAUGAAGAGGGACGUCGUAAUCAUAAUCGAAUUUUGAGAACGCAAUAUAUAAAAUUUCCUUAUGUUGAACCAAUCCAACAAGAAGUCCAUAUAUANAUUUUGAGAACGCAAUAUAUAGAAUUUCCUUAAGUUGAACCAAUCCAACAUGAAAUUCAUAUAUAUAUUCUUGACUAAAGAUGAUUAAAAUCUCACUCUAAGCUUUUUAGAAUUGACAUGAAGUAUAAUUUCCUUUCCCUUAAUUAUAACAGAACAACUUUUUCAACCCCUGCAGCCUCACGAAUUGAAACCUUUGUUUUCUAUAAUUAACAUUGCUAACUUGCAAUACUUAUCAUAAUUAUCAUGGUCCCACUAACAUGAUGAUUAUUAGCAUAACACUUAUGCUCCCACUAGCUUUGACAUGUAUCCAGAAAACAGAUGGACUUCUAGAAGUCAAUACUUUAUUGACUUUCUUACCAAAGUUCAGAUUUUUUAUACUAGAUUGCUUUGAUAUGACUUCAUUAAAAUCAUACACCUUAUUUUAGAUAACUCACAGGUGAGUCUAAAUAAUUUUAGAACUAUGAAAAGGGAUGUCGUAAUCAUAGUCUCAAUUGUUUAGACUUUUGCCAUUUCUCAUAAGUCCAUGUUAGUGUGUCGGAUAACCAUGCACGCUCCACUAACGAAUUUGAGAAUUCAAAGAUUACAAUUGCUAUCUUACUUAAAUUCUACUUGGUGGAAGUGUUUCAUCACCAUCAUUUUCAUGAAUCGGAAAGAAACCUUAUGAUCCUUAGAUUUUAUGGUGUAUGUGUUCUUAUCCACGUGAAUUUGUCAAAACCAUAAUCAUAAGACUAGGUUAGUGACAAAUCCUAACUUAUAUGGAUUGAACUCGUGCAAUCUUAACCACUUGCCACCUAGCAACACAAGGGCCUGCCAUUGCUUCCAAGUAGUUAUGCAAACAAUUGAGAACAUGUAGAACUCAAAUGUUCUAGCCAACUUAACUGGAAUGGGCACAAAAAUGUCAACACAAUAGGUUAUAAACCAAUUGUUGUGUGCUAGUGAUGAAAUACAGGUUUUAUUCUUGAUUAGUUCUUGAAACUAUAUCAGGAUCUAUUAGACUCCCACUGUCUUCUUGACCUAUAAGACUUGCUUGCCAAAUGUUUAAGGAAAUAAUGUGGAUUCUAAUCAAGACUAACACUUCACACAAUUGGCCUUAGUUGAUCUUUGUUUUAUCCAAAACAUCACAACUUCCCAAUUUCAAAUGUACAAGAGUAGAAAAAUUUUACUCUUACAUUUAACAAGUGUUAUAAACCUUCUUUAAGAUAUGUCACUCAAGUUACAACCUUGGAGUAUGACUCUAAGAUUUGUUUUGGAACGAAGUAUGACUCAUCUUCUUAAUUUAACCACUUCAACAAUUCACGAAUCCUCUUCUUAGCUAUCAGAAUGCACUUAGAGGAUGAAUUAUGUUAAGGUUUCUUAAUCAUUAAGAUGAUCAUAUAUACAUGAUACUAAAGUAUUCUCCCAUCUUUUCAGAUUUGAGAAACUUUUAUCCUUUUUGCCUAAUUUGAUUCUUCUUAUUCGCUCUGCCACACAUUUGGAACUUUUCCAAUGUCUUAGAAUUAUACUUAAGCUUGUAAGUAUAAUCAUAUUUACUAAACCUUAGUAAAUCAUGACGAAUAGUCUUAUCCAUCUUUUGUGGUGAACUUUGGCUAGUGCACAAGAAUGUGUACUUGAUCCCUUAAUCCUUCUCUUGAGUCACAUAUACAUGUGAACAAAGAACUAGUCUUAAUUUUCCGAAAUGAAACUUCUCAUACAUCAUACUAUACAACUUGUAUGAUUCCAAGUGUUGGCCAAUUUAAACUUGGGUGAUGAGAAUCUUUCCUUAUUUGGUAAAUUUAGACACUACCACAAACGAAAGAAUCAAAUUCAAAUUUCCUUCUCUUUGCUUGAACCUGCUAAAUAUCAAAAUGCAACCAAGUCACAUUUUGUAGUAAGAAUCAUCAACUGGGAACUUAACAAAGUUAGAUAGUGGACUUAUCUGAAGCAGAGUCAAACUUUUUGAUUCUUCUUUCUUUCAGGUAGCUUGGGCAGCUUCGCUUCCAAUUCCCCUUUUCUUCACACUGAAAACAUGUAGACUCUUUGGGAAUGGUACAAAAGGCUAUUCCAGACUUAGACUUUCUCUUUACCUUCCAUUCAACCGGGUUGACCAAGGCCGAUCCCUUUCCAUUCGAAAGAGAAAGCUUUUCUAGACUUCCAAUGUUACCAUUGUCCAUGUCCAUGAAAGUUUGACUUCCAUCCAUAUUUGUUUGACUAUUGCACCAAAUCAUUUCUGAUUCAGCAGCAAUAAGCAAAUAAGAGAGAUCCAUUAGGGUCAUGUUGUGACCUGUCACACAAUAGUCUUUCUAUACGACUCAGGAAGUGACUGAAAGACCUAGUCAAUAGCCAACUUCCUUAGGACAACGACACCCUACCUUCUCAACCUGUCAAUGUGUGACUUUUGUCCUAAGACAUGAGUGCACAUAGGACUUCCACCUUUAUCUUUCAUUGUGGAUAGGGAUUGAGUGAUCUUGAACUAUUCAAGUCUUUGAGCUUGUAGGUCGGGGAGAAUAAUUGGAGGAGGUGGAGGAAGAGAAGUAUGAUUUCCAUGAGCCAAACUCAGGAAGUCAUAUUCAUUAGGACAGCUUGGUUUGGGAAGAUUGUUGUUGUCUAAACCAGACAUCAACAAUGGGAGAAAUUCAAGUAAAGUUGAUUUAAGUCCUUAAUAGAACACCCAAUAUGAAAUAUUAAGGCUAGGACCCAACAAACUAUUUUAAAACGUGGAAGAGGGAUGCCGUAAUCCAAGCUAUAAAAUAUUUGAAGGUAGGUGAAUGACGAUUCACCAAUUUCCUCCAAGAUAAACGAAAUGUGUUAUUAGGUUUUAAUUGGUUUUGAAACUCCUAGAUUCUUUUGAGAUUCAUUGAACUUUUUGAAUGGCAUGUUUCAAUCUCGAGUGUGCCCUUUAGGUUUUGUGACUGGGAUGCCGAGGAUCACAAAACAAGGUGUGAAGUAACCAUGCAAAUAUACUUGGUACCCUUAAUAUUUACCCCUCAAUCGAUGUGCCGGUUAGCCACACACGCUCCAACGAUACUAUGAUAAACAUUAAGUUACCUUUUUCCUACCUUGUUAAGUCCAGUUUAGUGUGUUGGUUAACCACACACGCUCCACUAACGGCUUAAAGAAAGUGCAAAGUGUAAUUUCAUGUAUUAGCACCUUAUUGACAUUUUCCUAAGUAACUAAGAUUGGGAAUUUAUAAGUGUUUAGUUACUUAGUAUUUAUCAUUAUACUUAUAAUGAAGGGAGAAUUAGAGUCCUUUUCCUACCUAUUCGGCUAACGACCCUCCACUGGUCAAUGAAGUGCUGGGUGAGAGUGGACACCCAUUAAACUGCCAUUUUAUAGGUAGUAACCUUAUACCCCCUUAUAGACCGGCUUCGUGAAUGAGGCCUACUAAUGGUAAGACGACUUGCUCUUAUACAUAUAUAUAAAUAUUAUUAACUUAUAAUAUUAUAAAGUAUAAGGGUUGAAUUUUAACUUUUAAAAUUCNAUAUUAUUAACUUAUAAUAUUAUAAAGUAUAAGGGUUGAAUUUUAACUUUUAAAAUUCAAAGGGCUCCACUUGGAACUAUAGGAUCCAUGAGAAAACUUUACAAAUUCCAAAACUUGAGGGAAACUUUUGAAACUAUUCAAAACUCUUGGAUUUUCAUAACUUAUAAGUUUAAUUAAAAACUUUUAAUGAAGAGACUCUUGGACAUCCAUAACUUGAUGACAAGUUAUUGUUGGGUUUUGAGCAUUCUAACACUCCAAUGGUGUACAUGCAACCCUAAAUACCUUCGAUCUAUGUUUUCUCUAUUAUACAUGCAAAUAUCAAUUUCCAAGGUAUUUAUCCUAACUAGCAUAUUAUGAAGUACAAAUAAUAUAAAAUCUAGUAGAUUGAUAUACCUCUUUGUUGGUGUUUCAAUCUAUUUCAAAAUAUCAUUCAUUGCAUACUGUUUCAAGCUAUCAACUUUAUAUUUGAAUUAAAACAAUAGUUGUCCCAUACUCCAAGCAUGUACACUAUGUUUUCUAAACACCAGUCAUGUCAUACACCAAGUAUGCAUACUAAGUUUGUCUAUGAUCUUUACUUUGUGAAAUAGAUAGAUUGAACAUAAAUCCAAUGAUACUCAUUUCACACUCCCAAUACUGCACAUGCAAGAACUCCAAAUUCCUUGCAUUUACCUAAAUCUGUUAGAUUCUAAACUUAUACGCAUUGAUCCUCUUGUAAUGAUUAUGCACAAAGUCACAAAGACUUGACAACAAACAUUAAAGAGUAUUCCAAAGGAGAUCAACUCCUUGGAAACAUCCUUCAUGCAUUAAGUUUCCUAAUCUUACACAGAUUUAUUGAACAACUCCACCUUCCCAUAUUCCCAUUUUGACUAUCACUUCUGAACAAGAGUUGCCUCUUUUCAGAAUAUGUCAAUAUGGUACUUCCGAAAAUUAACAUUAUACUUCCAACUGUCCCUGAGCAACCAAUCUUUGGUAAACCUUAGAUUGUCCUCGACAAUUGCUUAAUCCUUGUAGUUAUAUCCAAUUCUAGACCUUUUCCCUUCUUAAUGCCCCAGGCAUUUGGAAAAUUUUAGAAAGGAUGAAUAUAGCACAUGUAAUCGACCCUAUAUCCAAAGCAUAUGGGACACGAUUCAUGACGUCUCACAUAAAGACAUGAUACUAGACUAGUCCUUUGCUAUAAUAUUUCCAAUUCAAUUUGCCAAUUUCUCAUAAUUCAGAUUAUGGAAAGGGACGUCGUAAUCAUAAUCGAAUUUUAGAACGCAAAUAAUGAACCCAUACAUAGAAUUUCCUUAUGUUGAGCCAUUCCAACAUGAAAUUCAUAUAUAUAUUCUUGACAAAAUACGAUUAAGACCUCAAUCUAAGCUUUUAGAUUUGAGAUGAAGUAUAAUUUCCUCUCCAUUAAUUAUAGCAAAACAACUUUUCCCAAUUGAGACCUUUUGUUUUCUAUAAUUAACAUUNAUGCUCCCACUAGCUUUGACAUGUACUCAGAAAUCAGCUGGACUUCUAGAAAUCAAUACUUUAUUGACUUUCUUACCAAAUUUCAGACUUCUGAUACGAAAUGCUUUGAUAGAACUUUAUCAAAAUCAUACACCUUUCCUUAGAUAGCCCACAUGUGUGUCUAAAAAAUUUUAGAACUAUGAAAAGGGAUGUUGUAAUCAUAGUCUCAAUUGUUUAGACCUUUGUCAUUUCUCACAAGUCCUUGUUAGUGUGGCGGUUAACCAUACAUGCUCCACUAACGACUUUGAGAAUGCAAAUAUCACAAUUGUUAUCUAGUUAAAAUCUACUUAGUGAAAGUGUUUCCUCACCAUAAUUUUCAUGAAUCAGAGAGAAACCUUAUGACACUUAUAUUUUAUGGUGUAUGUGCUCUUAUCCAUAUGAAUUUGUGAAAACCAUGAUCACAAGACACAGUUAAUGACAAAUCCAAACUUAUAUGGAUUGAACUUGUGCAGUCUUAACUUCUUGCCACCUGGCAGCACAAGGGCCUGGCAUUAUUUCCAAGUUGUUGUGCAACCAAUUGAGAAUUCUAAGAACUCAUAUGCAAAGACAACUUUAACUGGAAUGGGCACAGAAAUAGAAAUAUGUCAAUACGAUAUGUUAUGAACCUCACGUCGUGUGCUAGUGAUAAACUUACAGGAUUUUAUUCUUGAUUAUCCUUUGAGGAUCUUUAAGACUCCCACUAUACUCUUGACACAUAUGACUCAUUGCCAAAUAUUCAAGAGAUAGUUUGGAUUCUUUAUCAAGACAAACACUUUACACAAUUGGCCUUAGUUGGUCUUUGUUUUAUCCAAAACAGCACAACUUACCAAUUUCAAAUGUACAAGUGUAGGACACACUUUACUCUUACAUUUGACUAGUGUUAAGAAACCUUCCUUUAAGAUAUGUCACUCAAGUUACAAUCUUGGAGUAUGACUCUAAGAAUUGUUUUUGGAACAAGGUAUGAAUCAUCUUCUUGAUUUGACCACUUCAAAAAUUCAUAGCUCCUCUUCUUAGUUAUCAGAAUACACUUAGAGGAUGAAUUGUGAUAAGGUCUCUUAAUCAUUAAGAUGAUCAUAUAACAUGAUACUAAAGUACUCUCCUUUCUUUUCAAAUUUGAGAAACUUUUAUCCUUCUGCCUAAUUUAAUUCUUUUCAUUCGUUCUGCCAUACAUUAAAAAUUUUCUAAUGUAUCAGAAUUACACUUAAACUUGUAAGUGUAACCAUAUUUACUAAACUUUAGUAAAUCAUGACGAAUAGUCUUAUAGAUCUUUUGUGGUGGACUUGAUCAAUGCACAAUAAUAUGUACUCGAUCCCUUAGGCCUUUACUUGACUCACACAUCUAUGUGGACAAGUAAUUAGUCUUAAUUUUCCAAUGCUUGAAAGUUCUCAUUGAUCAUACUAUACAACUUGCAUGAUUUCCUGGUUUCUAUCCAACUGGAACCUUGGGUGAUGAUAAUCUUUCCUUAUUUGGUAAAUUUAGACACUACCAUAAAUGAAAGAAUCAAAUCCAUUUUCCAAUAUUGUUAUCAAUGGAAUCAUAUAAGCAACACUUUUUCACAAAUGCCAUUGUAAGGAUACUUAAAAUAAAUAAAAUCAAAUAUUUUCCUUUUAUUUUAAAACUUUGUGGAAAAACUUAUCCUUACAGUGCAAAUGAAAACCUUGUUGUUAUCUAUUCCUAAGUAAUGUGUCAUAACUCCUAAGUAACAACUCAAAAUUCUGAUGCGAAUAAAACCCAUCUUAUGAUCAGAAUCAACAUAUACUUCCUUUAAGCUUUCUCUCUUUCUUUGAUUCUUAUAACAUCACCAUGUGACCCAGUCAUAUUAUGUAAUAGAAUUUGCAAAUAGGAGCUUAACAGAGUUAGAUAAUGGACUUUACCUAAAGUAGAGUCAAACUUAUUGACUUUAACAUCCUUAGGUAAAUUUGGCAGCUUCGCAAUCAAUUCCCCUUCCUUUGGCAAUUAAACAUAUGGACGCUUUGGUAAUGGUACAUGGGACUAUCAUAGAUUUAGUCUUUCUCUUUACCAUUUGGUCAACCGAGUUGACUAUGGCCGAUCCCUUUCCAUUGGGAAGAGAAUGCUUUUUCUGGAUUUCCAGUGUCACCAUUGUCAAUGUCCAUAAAGUUUUGGGAAGUCAAUCUUCUAAUCAAAUUUUCUUUACUAGCCUUCCAAAUCAUUGCUGAUUCAGCAGCACCAAGCAAAUAGAUAAAAUCAUCAAGGGUCUUCUAAUAGUCUGUUUCAUAGGAGUUCCAAAGAAACUCACUAUGUGACUUAGAAAGUGACUGAACAUUCAACUUUCUGAAGACUUUGACACCUAACUCUCCCGGCUUGUCAAUAUGUGACUUCAUCUCCAAGAUGUGAUCACACCUAGACCUUGCCUUGCCAAAAGGGCUUGAGUGACCUUGAACUUGUGGGUUAGGGAGAAUAACUGGAGGAGGUGGAGGAAGUGAAGUUCCAAGAGAUUUGGGAGGAUCAUAGAUGUCUGAACUAGACAUCUUUUGCGAGAUAUUCAAGAUAGUUGAUCUAAAGUCCUUAAUAUAACACCAAAUGUGAAAUAUUAAGGCUAGGACCCAACACAAUAUUUUUUAACUUAGAAGAGGGAUGUGGUAAUCCAGGCUAUAGAAUAUUUUAAGGUAGGCGAAUGACGAUUCACCAAUUUUCACCAUGAAAACAAAAUAAUUUAAUUAGGUUUUACUUGGAUUUGAAACUCUUAGAUCUUUUGAGAUUCAUUGAACUAUUCAAUGGCAUGUUUCAAUCUCGAGUGUGCCCUUCGGGUUUUGUGACUGGGACGCCAAGGAUCACAAAACAAGGUGUGAAAUAACCAUGCAAAUCACUUGGUACCUUAAGUGUUCACCCCUCAAUCGAUGUGCCGGUUAACCACACACGCUCCAUCGAUACUAUGAUAAACAUUAAGUUACCCUUUUCCUACCUUGUUAAAUACGAGUUAGUGUUCCGGUUAACCACACACGCUCCACUAACCGACUUAAACAAAGUGCAAAGUGUAAUUUCAUGGAUUAGCACCUUAUUCACAUUUUCCUAAAGUAACUAAGAUUGGGAAUUAUAAAAAAC
rnacentral:lncRNA from 1 species